rnacentral:lncRNA from 1 species
AAGUAUAAAUAUACUUAACUGUACUUUAUUUUAUUACGAAAAUCAUAAAACCAGUUAAAACCGAGAAAUUCCCGAGAGAGUUCUUCGUGUUCUUGAGAUUCAAACGAGGAUUUGGACGCGUUAUCGGACUCGGAUUUUGGUGUUCAAGGGCUCAAAUUGAAGGUUUUAACAAGUAGAAUCAUAAUCUAGCAUCAAAAUCAGUGCAGCAACAUCAGGUGGGUGUGGAUUUUGAGAUUUAAAUUCGAACUAAAUAGGCUUAAAUUAGGGCUUUUUGAUUUUGAAGUUGUUUGUGUGAUUUGAUGAUUGUAUGUUGUAGAUGAUGUUCUCCUGAUCAUUUUGGUAUAUCAUAUGCAUGAUUUGGAGUUCAAUAACAUGGUUAAUUUGAGGAUUAAUUAUCGAAUUGAAGAACUAGGGUUCUAAAUCGCGAUGAAUGUUUUUAAUUGGAAUUAGGAACUUUUGAUUCACUGAUUCUGGGUAUAAAUUGAAGCCACGAGCAUGUUUAUCUUGUUGCAAGCAAUCGUUUCAUGCUAGUAUUGUAGUUGGAGGAGGUCGGAAUCGAGUUCGCCGGAGUUUUAUGAACUCGCCGGCGGCGGAAACUUUGAACGGCUGUUACAGCCGAUUGGGGAGUACGUUGGUUGAUUGGAUGCUACGACAGGACUCCUGACGAAGAGAGGAGUCGAUCUGCACCUUUUGGUGCAGAUCUGGGCUGUUGUCACCGUCUCCGGCGGUCGGGGGCGUCGCCGGUGGUAAAUUACCACCUGGCCCCCUGACUUUUGGAGAUGGUAACUUUUAAACCCUGAGGUUUUCAAAGUUUGCAAAUCAAACCCUGAACUUUUAAAACCUUUAAAAAGUUUUAUUUAUUUAAAUUUAAUUUCGAAAAUCAUUUAUUUUAAUUUCAAAAAUUGUUUUUAAUUAUUUAUUAAUUCAAAAAUAAUUCUGAUUUAAUUUAUUAAUUAAUUUUAAUUAGUAAUUAAUUAUUAUAAUUAGUCAAUUAAUUUAAUUAUUAAUUGAUUAAUUGUUUUAAUUAAUUAUUAAUUGAUUUUAAUUGAUUUAUUAAUUAGAUUUAAUUAUUUUAAAUAAUUUUAAAUGAUUUUAAAAUUCCGAAAAAUAGUUUCGAGCUUUAAAAUAUUAUUUUAAAAUAUGAUUGAAGCUCGUUAAUUGAUUUCAAAGGAUUUCGGACUUGAUUUCGAGUAUCCAAAAAUUGAUUAUUUAUUUAUAAAAUGAUUCUUUGACCCGUUUUAAUUCCGAAAAAUGUUUAAAAAUUCAUAAUAAAUACCAGAAAAAUCCGUUUGACUUCAAACUUCUUUUGAAAAAUAUAUUUUAUUAAAUAUUUUAUGUGAUAUGUGCUAUGUGCUAUCUGAUUGACAUGUUAUGUGUCUACGUGAUUGAUAUAAAAUUGUUUUUGACAUAUCUUUUGAUCCGUAAAUCGGAUUUGGGUGAAACGAAGGGUAGAUAGAAGCUCGUUUCGAAUGUAAGAUGAUGAGAAUAGUAUGAGAUCACAUAUUGAUAAUUAGUUGUGAUGAUUAGCAGAGAAGCCAGGCGUAAUAAAG